UUUUAAGUUGAUGCCAAUGAAAGCCGAGGACCUAAAAAGCGCUGCCCGCAGUCACAUGUAAAAGCAUCUGCACUCUCUCUUAACUUUACGUUUCCAAGUAUGUCCAGAAAAGGAUCUCCUCUGUGACCUGUCCUCGGUGUGCUCAGCAAAGUGCUUGGCUCCCGCGAAAGACUCCCCGCAGCCGACGCAGAUGUAGCUCACAGUCUCCGCGUGCUGCACGCAGUGUCGCAGCAGGUGCAGCAGGUUCUUGAAAGCUCUUCCGCACUGGCACUUGUGUGAGCGGCGGCCUUUGUGGAGGUAGCGGUGGCUGAUGAUGAAAGAGGGCUGCCGCAGGAUGGCGCCACACUGCCUGCAGGGGUAAGGGGUCUUGGAACGCCAGCCGGCGUUCAUGCGUUUCAUCAGAGCCGCGUUGUGGCUGUCGUUCUUAAACAAGGCCAUAAUCGUGGGCGACGGCGGCGUGACGGGAGGGGAGGCCGCGGCGGCUGCCGUUGAGUCAGCGGCUUCGGGAAGGACAAAUGAAGGGGCGGGCCGACUGCUUAAAGGCCGGUUCUUUGGACUUUGGGCGCGGCGUUUCCCCGAUCUAACAGGCGCCGUGCUUAUAGUGGCAUGUGGUCGGUCUGCAUGGGAGGAGGUCGAGACAGGGGGAGGGCUGGAUUUCACAACAGUGGCUAGAGACCCUACGUAGGUUUGGCCAGCACGGAACUGCCCAUGCAUGACCUGAAAGACCUCCUUUGGAUUGCUGUCCACUACCGUGGUUGCUGUCCUGAGGACACAGGGGGAAACGUUUGUAUCGGUCAAUGCUGAUGGGUUGGUAAUGAUACACACCUUGGUGCUGACCACUGAUGUGUGAACUUUAGUCACGUGGUUUAACAACGUUUUCUCAGAGGUGAAAAAGGAUUUACAUAUGUGACACGCUUGCGGCAUUGACUCUGGACAAAAGAGGACCAGGGGGGAUUUGGCUCCCUUGGGACACUGGUGGUAUUGGUACGAGCUCUCAUAAGGAAAAACUUGGCUACAGAUUUCACAAGAAUACAAAGGCAUGUAGUGUUCCUUAACAGACACCUCGGUUAGGAACAGCUUCUUGCACACUGAACACUGAUAUUUGACCCGUAUACCACUACAGUGCAGUAAAUGUAGCUUCAUUGACCGAAAUGGCCCUCUGCCACACGCAGCACAUAUUGAGCUAUCAACACUAGGGAGAGCUGCCGGGGGGGGUUUAGAGUGCGAACUGUGAGAAGAGUCACUGGAAGAAUUGGAUGAACUCGAGUCACCAUCAGAUUCUGGAUCCUCUGAACACAAGUCUGCAGAUUUUGAGGGUGUAUCUUCGUCUUCAGAUUCAGUGCUCGAUGAGUCAUCUGCUUUCUCACUGUCGUUUUCCAUGUGAAAAUCUUUAUCCUCUGCACCCAGUACAUAAUCUAAAUUGCUAUCAGAUGCCUCAGCUUUCUCAGGCUUCAUCUCAGCGCUUUGCGGAGGCCUCGGCUCCGACGCCGUGUCACGUUGCAGUGACUUUGUUUUAUGCUGCGCAGUCUCGUCAAUAGGAAGGUUGUCACUGUUCUGACUCUGACACAUGGGCCCGGACAUCAGAAGAGGAGGUGUUUUGAUUGGCGAGCCGAUGCACUGUGUCUCCACGUGAUUGUUCAAUUCCCACGAGCUACUGAAAUACUGGUUGCACUUUUUGCAAAAGGGUGGCAAGUGUACAUUAUCCAGGUGGAUGGAGAGAGACGUCAGACGUCGGAAGUUAACUUUGCAGAUGUGGCAGGUGGCUUUUACGUUGUGGCUUUUGUAGUGCAACAUCAAGCUUUUAAUUUUGCCAAAUGUUUUGCCACAUUCCCAACAUUUGGCCUUUCGGUGUGCAUCAAUGUGCUUCCUCUCAGCGGAUGCACACCAUUCUUCAUCGCUGCUCAAGUCUUCAGACAUAAUGAGCAGGUCAGGGCAAUCCUCUGGCCGGUCUGCAAUUUUAAGUAGAAUGGACAAAAUCAGUUUGACACGUUUGAAUAAAUCCCACAACAAGCAUUACAGCAGACAGCUAUUUACUUAGCUAUUACGGUUUACAGACAUUAUCAUUAUUACGAUCAUGAAUGUUUUCUUUUAUCAUAUGAACUUAGUAAGAUUUAGGCAAACUACACCAAUUAUGUUUGGUUAAGAGCUGAAACCAUGAUUAUCUUUACUAAUUAUUUGACUGACAAAAAAUGAAUGAGUUCAUAUGAUGUCAUGGUGUCAACCAUUGUUAUGAAUUAUGAGUCAAAUAGAAAUGCAUUGUCCCCAGAGGUUAAAGCCCACUAUCAAGUUAUCCUCCGACAUCUAACCCCAUCAUUGGGUCAACAUUCCAAUGAGUAUAAGAGCUUGGUUUAUGACUAAAUAUCUGAAAACUAAUAAAUUCCCAU
ensembl:lncRNA